rnacentral:misc_RNA from 1 species
CAAAGACUACGAUACCUGGUACUCUCUCCGUUACCUUCUCUCGCCACUUUGUACUUCUGAACACAGUCUCCCUUUCUCGUCUCUAUCACCACUCUCUGUCUCCUUUUUACUGCUUCAAUGGCUACUUUUGGUGCUUCCGCGACUUCAAAUCCAAACCCUAACAAAUCNNUAUUGAGGUUACACAACCUCCUGGUGACUCAGUUUCAAGUCUCAAUUUCAGUCCCAAGGCCAACUUCUUGGUUGCUACUUCCUGGGACAACCAGGUAAGAUGUUGGGAAAUCACAAGGAGUGGAGCCACUUUAGGAAGUGUGCCAAAGGCAUCAAUAUCACACGACCAACCGGUUUUAUGCUCCUCUUGGAAGGAUGAUGGAACAACUGUAUUUUCUGGAGGGU